rnacentral:rRNA from 1 species
GAUGAACGCUGGCGGCGUGCCUAAUACAUGCAAGUCGAGCGAACGGACGAGAAGCUUGCUUUUCUGAUGUUAGCGGCGGACGGGUGAGUAACACGUGGAUAACCUACCUAUAAGACUGGGAUAACUUCGGGAAACCGGAGCUAAUACCGGAUAAUAUUUUGAACCGCAUGGUUCAAAAGUGAAAGACGGCCUUGCUGUCACUUAUAGAUGGAUCCGCGCUGCAUUAGCUAGUUGGUAAGGUAACGGCUUACCAAGGCAACGAUGCAUAGCCGACCUGAGAGGGUGAUCGGCCACACUGGAACUGAGACACGGUCCAGACUCCUACGGGAGGCAGCAGUAGGGAAUCUUCCGCAAUGGGCGAAAGCCUGACGGAGCAACGCCGCGUGAGUGAUGAAGGUCUUCGGAUCGUAAAACUCUGUUAUUAGGGAAGAACAUAUGUGUAAGUAACUGUGCACAUCUUGACGGUACCUAAUCAGAAAACCACGGCUAACUACGU